CAGAGUUUUGAAUCUCUACAGAGACUGUACCCAGGAUCUUUAGACUUCUUCUCUUAAAAGAAAGGCAAAAAAAACCUCCCGUUUGCGGUUUGGAAAUGCCAGAAUCAGAACCUGCCCCUGAUUGGUUCUCUCCUGCGUGGAUCCACUUAAUUUAUCCCACGAUCCACCUGAUGGUCCUGACCCCAGCUGAUAGUAAUACUUGAAGUUACCAUGUUGCAGUUGCAUCAAGUGUGUAAGGAUUUCAGGGGGGAAAUAAACUUAACAUUUGGUGGCAGCAGUGGGAUUCCAACGUACACGGAGCUUCCAGGUCAAGCAUGACAUCGGACCACUGCCCACCCCUCAACAACUUGUUCUAACUGAUUCAAUCAGCUCCCCAAUCAUGAGCACAAAAAGUGAAGAAGCUAACAAUGGGGAAAAGGAGGUCUGAAUGUGUUUUGUCAAUGGCCUUCCUAUGGACAUUAAACAUGUGAGCUUUACCUCUCUAUCAUUUAUGGGAUAUGAAGGUUCACUGAUCAAACUAACAUCAAAAGAGAAAGUUGAUUUUGUUACAUUUGACAGCAGAGAAUGCUGCAUUCACCUACCCUGCAGUUGCAGCUGCUGCACCUCACACUCCGAUGCGCUGGUAUCCUCCAUCUGAAGCACCCCUGCAAGGAUGGCAGUCAGUUUUGUAAAGUUUUUAACUGCCCUUAUCCAAGAAUUCAGAUUUCUCCGUGGAGUGAUGUUUUGUUUUCAGGUUGGACUGUACUGAAGAAGAGUUUGGAUAACUGGCUCGUUUCCAUUGAACUUGGAAGGGGUGGAGUUGUCAUUAAGGACUGUGGAUUUAAGAACUUUUUCCUGCAGAUUCAAAAUACUGCAUGUACUAGUAAUAUUUGUUGUUUAUAAUCAUUGCAUGUUGUGUUUCAAUAACUUACUUAAGUACUGGCAGUAAGAUUCUGAUAAAGAAGGUGGUAAUGCCAUCUAGGUGGUUAUCAUGGAAUGAUAAAAGGACGGAAUGUGAUAUUAAGGAGUUAGCUUGCUCUGCUGACCUGCAGGAAAUUGGAUGUCCUGAGGCUAGGGUGAGAUGCCUCUGUCUUGCAGACAGAUUGUAAAAAAUUACAUUAUCAUCUCCUAUUAUCCAGAGCCAUUUACAUGGCCAUUUCCUUGUCUUUCAGAGCUGUUUACAUUUUCAUCCCCAAUUCAGAAAUCUAUAAGAAUGUUGUAGUUGGAAUUUGACUACUCCCUUAUAGUUACAAAAACACCCUUUUGCAACAGAUUUGACCCUUAAGGAAUGAUUUGCAUUACAUUGUUUCUGGUGGUGAUGUGGUCAAUGUAUUGGUCUUGAGUGGCAUGUGACUGAGGGGAAUGGCUGGGGGUUGUCUUGUGGGUAUUAUUAACUGUGAUGUAAAUAUUUUGUAUAAAGAAAGGACUGUUUCCUUUGUUCA